rnacentral:rRNA from 1 species
GAUGAACGCUGGCGGCGUGCUUAACACAUGCAAGUCGAACGAGAAGUGGAGACGGAAACCUUCGCGCGGAAGACUUUACUUCGAGUGGCGGACGGGUGAGUAACGCGUGGGUAACCUGCCUCAUACAUGGGGAUAACAGUUGGAAACGACUGUUAAUACCGCAUAAGACCACAGCACCGCAUGGUGCGGGGGUAAAAACUCCGGUGGUAUGAGAUGGACCCGCGUUCGAUUAGCCAGUUGGCGGGGUAACGGCCCACCAAAGCGACGAUCGAUAGCCGAUCUGAGAGGAUGACCGGCCACAUUGGGACUGAGACACGGCCCAAACUCCUACGGGAGGCAGCAGUGGGGAAUAUUGCACAAUGGGGGAAACCCUGAUGCAGCGACGCCGCGUGAGUGAAGAAGUAUUUCGGUAUGUAAAGCUCUAUCAGCAGGGAAGAAAAUGACAGUACCUGAGUAAGAAGCCCCGGCUAACUACGUG